rfam:Schistosoma curassoni strain Dakar, Senegal genome assembly, scaffold: SCTD_scaffold0007901
AUCCAGGUGAAGAGUCUCAAACAGGACGAAAUGCGCAUCCUGGAU